ensembl:lncRNA
CCUGGAUGUUUCUGUGCUCCACAUUCAGAGAGGAGGCCAGCUGAGGAAAAAGCACAUUAGCAUGAAAAUGAUGGUGACAUCCAGACUGAGGCUGACCAUUCAUUUUUUAAGUCUACUGUUGUUAUGCCAGGAGCUGACUGUGUAUCUGCUGCGUAGGCUCCUAAACUUGUGGUACUCGGGCAUGGGUACCCUGCCAGCAAAUCUGGAGUCACAGGUUCUUGCCGGGUUGCACAGGGGGUUAAUGUGCUGUUCUCCAUCCCUUGCAGAUCCGGAUUCUUUGUUUUUCUGUAGACCCGUGUGCCAUGCUAAUAGCAAAAGGGGAGGUUGUAAAAUGGAAUGGGGCACUGGGGAACAGCCACAGCGGAGCAGGGUGCCUCAGGCCAGGGCUGCUCUGGAAUCAAUGGAUCUCAGUAUGGGUCUAGGACUGCUGUUUUUAUUGAAUUGGAGCUCACAACUACCGCACAAUAAAGAGGUGCAAGUGGACCAUACUGAAAUGUGGCCUCAGACUCAGUCUGCACAGAAAGAGCUGCAUUAUUCCACCGCUUCUCCUGGACGUGCAGCAGCCCGCAGUGCUGCAGCCAUAACACCAGGGCUCUGCAGAGGAUUCUUGCUCUUGGCACCCAGCGUUGUGCUGCUCGCAGUGCACCAUCAUGGUCUGUGGCUUCUCCAGGUGCACGGUCUGGUCAGCCACAGAUGAACACAAUCCACUUCAAUUAGCCAUUCACCGGGCCUUCCUACCCCUGAUCUUUCCUGUUCUGGAUUGUAAAAGCAUCUAGCAGCUCCUUCCUUGGCUGUAGUUCCUUCAGGCUAUCACAGUCAGGAGUCCCCACCCGUGUCACCCUCCAUGCAUCACCUGCCUUCUCCUGCUGUUGCUGCUUCUCCUGCUCUGAAGCUCAAAUGUGGCAGCAAAUUGCCAGGUUUGCUCUGCUCAGCCUUGGGCUGUUCCCUGCCCCUGCUGCCCACCACGAAGCUGCCUAUCCUUCUUACAAGGGCUUGCUCAGCCUCACCUCCUCGUUAGAGCUGGUGCGAGGAAAGGCACCAAGCUGCCCCCAGCCAGGCACCCCAACCCCUUUUAAAAGUCACCUUAAUCUUCUUUGGCAACAGUUAAAAACUGGCCAGCUGCUUGACCAGGCUAUCAAAAUAAACUGGCUUUGUAGCCCAAGAUAACUUCAGAGAAACACAGCCAUCCAUUUCUUCCGAGCUCUCCAGAAACUUGCCCGUCAGCUGUUUAAUUAACAUGUGCCAAUUAAUUAAUGCCAUUAACUUUGAUCACAUAAACCAGAUUUAACGUCAACAUAACUGAGACCAGAAGCUCAUGCUCAGGUAAGACCCCAGUCAAGACAAAAGCUUUACAAAACCCUUUCGGACUGGGAUUGUUCUCCUUACUGUCCUGGCCAGCAACUCGUGCGUGUGUUAGGAACUCACAUCCCACCAAAUGGAUGCAUUUUGCUUCCCCUGCAGCAUCCGUUCUUCUCUCCUUUGAGAGCAUAACCCCUGGCAACGUUCUGACUCUCGGGUUAGGUUCUGAGUCACAGCUCCUGCCCUGUGGCAAACCAAAGGCAUCUCAUGUGCGAGUGCACACACACCCGCCUCCAGCAGCACAGGGGCAUCGCUCCACAGCGCCUCUUCCUCAUCCCCCAGCAGCCCUCCAUCAGGAGCAUUUCAAUGCCAACUCUGUUCUCCUUCAGCCAGAACUCCAUCCUGACCAUCUCCCUCACCAGCUAGGUAAGCGAGGGAAACCUUCUUACCCCCACAUCCUCACCGACCACAAUCUCAUCCUCUAUUUUUGAAAUAUUCAAGGCCUGAAAUGUAGAAUUUGGGGUUUUACACCAGCUAAUAUUAAUAGAAACAUUCUCAGGAUUUUUUCCCCCAAUGUAAAUGGAACGCUUUUAUUUUUUAUUUUUUACAACAUCUCCCUGUGGUGCUCGCAGCCAAACACUGCAGCAUUGUGCCAGCCCGGGGAGCUCACUAUAAACACAUCUGUCUAGCUUCUCUGUCAGGCCCUGUGAGCUCGGCAUGAACCAGGAAAAGUAAACGUGUACAUUAAAUAUUUACUGUUUACAGUGUGUACAAUCUAAAAGUGUUUCUAGCAGCACAAGUAAGGCACGCUUUUAAUCACUGAUUUUUAUUUUGACAUGGCACUGUUAAGAAAAAAAAUGGUACGGGUGCAUCCUGAAAGCCCACUCUUUCCAACCAGAGGCUCUCUUCUCGCAGCUGUUGAUGAACAUCAUUCAGUUAUUACACACUUCUCACAUGAAAGACCAGCGUCGUCUGCCGUUUUUUCCCCAAAUAAUCUCACUAAAAAUUGGGUCUGUGGGCAUUUUCAGAAUCAGACCUCAGUUACACAGAAAGAUAAGACAGCGAUAAGUAUGUAGACUGCUGAGUACUAAAUGAUGCAGAGGAGUACAGGAGACACAUAGACCUGUUAGAGUGGGAACAGAGGAGGGCCCCAGAAACAACCCAAGGGAUGGAACACCUUCCCUAAAAGGACAGGCUGAGAGCUGGGGCUGGUGAGCUCUGAGAAGGCUCCAGGGAGACCCGAGAGAGGCCUUUCUCUAUCUAAAGGGGGACUGUAAGAAAGAAGGGCACAGAUUCUUUAUCAGGAUCUGUUGUGACAGAACAAGGAGAAAUGGUUUCAAAUGAAAAGAGGGGAGAUUUAGAUUGGACAAAGUUUCUUCUCAGUAAUGGUGGUGAGGCACUGGCACAGGCUGCCCAGAGAGGAGGUGGAUGUCCCAUCCCUGGAGACAUUCAAGGUCAGACUGCGAGGGGCUCUGAACACCUGACUGAUCUGUAGGCGUCCCAGCACAAUGCAGGCGAGCUGGGCAAGGUGAUGUUUAGGGGUCCCUUCCAACUCAAACAAUUCUAUGAUUCUAUGAAAAACAUCAAUGAACAAACAUCCCCCAAAGCAAAUAGCUGCCUGUCAGCACGAUUUUUUUAAAAAUAUAUUCUUAAAUGAAUAACAUAACAGCUAGCUUUUAGUGUUUGCCCCAUGCAAAAGGGUUUCUGCUUUCAUCUCAACAUUGACACUCAGAGUCAUAAUUUCUGUACAACAACAGGAAACGAAAUGUUAACAAUCGUAAAAAAGUCUCCACACCAAAGCAGUGUGCUGAUAGCCCUGCUAACCUUGUGCUUCCUGAGGACACUGGUCUGUGGGAAAACAGCGGGCAGCAGACCUCGACGUGCUUCCUGGCUGACUCAAAGAGAUCUGCCCUCCCAGUGGGUCCGCAUGCACUGAUAGGCUCCUCUGUCCUGAAUCUCCACAAGGACCUGGAGUAAUGCAUGCAACCUUUCACCGGACAGCCUACCAGGUCUCACCCACCAGCUCUAUUUUAAUCUCUGGCAGAGAUAAACUGAGGAGAAGAUUCCAGUCAAGUAGUUCGUUCUUCACUCCUCAAGAAAAAUUCCCCAACCAGUUCAAUAGAGCAAGGCGCACCUUUAAGAUUUGGUAUGCUGCUCAAGGCUGGAGAUGGUUUUGCACUUCUCCUUAAUUGCAGGCACGCAAGACUGGGAUGGGCAGCUAUUUGCACAUUCUUGGAUCGUAGCUCUGUCUCCAGAAACAUUCUCAAAACACAUACAGGAUCUGCUGGCUGCCUCUAAGUCCUCCCUAUCUUCAAGGAUGACAUCGUGUCUGCUUAUUUGUCUGCUAUUGACUUUUUCAGUACGCUAUCGCUGACCAGAAGUGAGGGGCACGUGCCAGAGAACUGUGCAAAAAGCUGAUCUCCAGCAGGGCAGUCCUGGCCUGGCUUCCUUCUAUCGGUUAGCUCAUGCGUGUCAUAAAAUAAACACGCACGACAGAGGAAAAGAACAUAACUAGCUGCCACUGAAAGCUGGUAGGUGAAGGGUAAGAGCCCAGAUAGAAGGGAAGGGAAAUAAACAAGAAGACAGCAAACACAAUCACAGUCUCACUGUGUUUUAAUAAGCUUGUGUGUGUAGCAGAGGAUGAGUAACAACAGCAGACAAAGCCAACAGGCACCUCAGGGCAUUCUGCACUGUUCUGAGAUUGAUGCCAUGACGUUUUCAGCAGGUAACCUGACAAUCAACAGAAUUCACUGUGUGGCAAAACGUCUUUGGUAUCUUGAAAGCUCAGGCCCUUCCUUCUAUUUGUACUCAAAGAAGAAAGAACUGCAUUUUAAACAAACAAACAAGCAAGCAUGCCUGCAAAACUCUGUUCUUAAAAGCAAAAUCCAGGUGAGCCCCCUGAAUGCCCACGUGUCAGUGACAACAAAACACAUCCCUGGGUCAUUAGCAGAGAAGAGGAAGUGAAAGCACCAGAACGAAGGCAGAGGGUUCUGCUAGUAUUGAUAUCACCUGACCUUAAGGGAAUGGAGUUUCGAUGAUAGCUAUAAUGAAACACAAUACUCAUUGGGAAAGAGUAAUUUGCCACAUUUUAAAUGUAGAAAUGUAAAAACAAACCUGAACGUGCUGAAGAGCAGACAUUCUGGGCUGCAGAGCUCCACAACACAGAUAGAGGCAGAAGGCAAUUGUCUCUAAGGUGUAGCUAUGAGGUGGACUGAGGCAGGCAACAGCUGAAGACCAUUACGGACCACAGCCCACAGGUGUUCUUUGAUCAAAAAUUGCUCAGGCACUGUUCUAUUGAUUGCAAUCAGGCUAACCCUGCUCCAGCAACCCUUUGUGAACACGACCAAUUUUCCUUUGAGCUUGCUCAUUUCAUCUUAAUAAAGAUGUCAGUUUACAAGCAGUACUGCUCCACAGGGAAAUCCUGCACACUGAGGGCCAAAGCUGGAAGCUAUGAAAAAGUUUCUCCUGAGGUCAUAUGGGAUCCACGUCCAAGACUUUCUCCUUAGCUGGUGCUGGGAAAGAAGCUGUGUGCAGUCCUGAUGCCUCAGCUUCCUUCUGCAAUACAACACACAGCUGCGAAAAGAAUUUUAGUAAGGCACGUGAAGAGAGAUUUCAACUUAUAUUUCAAGUAGAAUCACCGCAUAAAGAAGACAGACUUUCAUUACUUAUUUACACGGCAAAGAGAGCUCGGGCCAAAGCCUGCAGCAGUCUUUUCAUUGAAAACUUCAGCUACAGGGAAGUGCCCGCUGCAAAUACUGUCUUCUGAGCAUAUCCUGGUGUCAAAGGACAUGCACGUGAGAGCAGGUUAAGGUACCUUAGUAAUCCACCUGCCUUGCUGAGGAAAACUGAAUGCCUUCCCAGUGCUACAGGAGCCGCUACUGUAGCAUUAAAUUGAAUGCCAUCUCCCUGAGCGGCAGCAAGAAAGAGUGUUGGGUUCUGUGAACAAGCUGGAGGAGCUAAAUAGAAGAUGUUAACUACUUUCCUUUCUGCAUCCAGCCCUGGGUGAGAAGCCACGAGGCACAUACUGCCAGUGACCAUCUGCAGGGAUGGUUCUUGAAGAAGCAAUGAGAACAACUGAAUAAUAUUGCAGAUUUUACUUGUCUGGGUUCCCUGCAGGGUCAGCAGCCUCACAAGUUCCCUUUCCACAGUCACAGAAGAGGAACCCUCACAACUCCCUGACAGCAGCCACAGGUAAAAUCAGUGUGCCUACAGAGCAAAGUGUCUCUCGGUACACAGAUGCUGUGAAGCACAAACCCACAAAUAAGAGAAACCACGGGCAAAGCACAUACUAGACAAAAACUGACAGGCGUGAGCACAGCUAAAGGGAGGGCAGUGGGGAAAAGGAAGAAAACAAAUAGGAAAUAGCAUACUCAAAGUAUUCAGCAUAAACUGAGCAAAUCAAAGCGAGGGGAAAAAAAAAAAAGCCUGAUCCCACUCGGAUUUGAGCUGCUGAAGCCUUCUGGCUAUUCUGUGCUAUGUCGCUAUGCUUAAUUUGCCCCGCUGGAUUUGCACCUCCUGUGAGUCACUGAGAGGAGCCAUUGACUCUGGAAGAACUGAUUUAGUGCAGCAGGAACCGGCGGCCUGGCAGGAGCUGCAGGAGAGGCCCAAGCGAAGGUAGGUAAACAUUAGGAGAGGAAAGGUUGUUGGGAAAAAGCCCGGAACAGGGAAAGGGAGAAGAAAGAGAAUGAGAGAUGGAAGAAAUGCUCAGUAAAGGACGGGCAAAGGAAAGAGAGAAUGGGUAAGAGGACAUAAGAGACAGUAGGAAAGCAAGGGCUGGGUGCUGGUUUUGGUAAGAACCUUCCCAGAAUUCAUGUGACUGUAAAGUCCUGAUGUUCUCUACCUCCGGGCACACCAGUGCUUUGGAGGGCUGUCUGUCCCAUGCAGCGCCCAUCCAGUGUCCCCGCACACGGCUGUGGAAUGAUGACCUUGGGUGAUAAACUAUGUUUUUCAUCUGGGUUUCUUCUUGAUUUGUUUCUCCUGAAACUUCUUUCCGUGGAGAAAUAAAGGCCUGUGGAAAUGACAGUAUAUACACCUGGUAAAUCUGCACGAUCUGGCGCAUUAACCAACUGUUCCAAACUCCUGCUUAACCAAGCUCCCAGCCGACCUCACCUUACCAACCUACGGCACACAAGCUGGGAGACAGUAAGAUGCUCUUCAUUACAUAAAGCUGGGAAUAUUUCCCAGUUCCCUUAGGAACAGGACAGCAGAGGCCUGAAACUUGAUGUUACGCUGAACAAAACCCAUAAACGAUGCUCCCAGCCUUUUCCUGUGUCCUGAUGUACACCUGCAGACACAGUCACAGCCUGGGAUGUAAACUCCAGGUCACAGUUUGUGACGGGGAACCGCGUGCAAUGGAAGUGUAUGAAAGGUUCACGGUCCAACCCGAACGCAGAGACUCUCAGCCCAUCUCAAACGUUGUCAGCUGCUUGAGAUUCAGGACAGGUUUGUCAAAAGGCGCUUCAAAGCUUUCCAAGUGACCUUUUUUUUUUGAGCAAAUGCAGGUUCGUUUACAGUUUCCCAUCAGAGCUGUGUGGAUGUGUGGUAAGACACGAAACCAACUGAGAAAAGCGCCAUUCAUUGGCUUCCCUGUGGCAUUUGCUGAAUGUUGUGAAAGCCACAGAUCAAAGCAGAAUGCUUGAUGCACGUCCUUAAAUAAGAUGUCAUUAAAUAGACAAGUGUUUGCAUAAAUCCCUGAAAAGCAAAACGGUCCAAUUUAACCACGCUCUGAUGCAGCAGCUCUUCUCGCUUCAACCUUUUCCAAGUUUUCAUUAACCAAAACGCACUGAACGACAACGCUGUUCCAACUGAUCACAAAGCUGCCCUGUAGAGUCACCUCGAACAAAAAGCACCCGCGGGGUGUUCCACCUGAAAGGCAACGUUAGGCUGUCAGAAACGAACGAGCACCGGAACGCAGCCGCAGGAGGCAGGGAAGCGCAGGCCUCCGGUGACUCCGAGACGGGGACCGAGCCUCGCUCCUCCUCCUCGCAGCUGGAGCUGAGGGGUGGGGAUGGCAGCGGGUACCACCGUCGCUGGCAGCCACCUCAGCCGCCGCUGGGCUCCGUCCAACGUAACGAACGCGACCGGUGACUCCUGCCGCCUGCAGUGGCACCGCACGGCGCUCUCAGGAGCGCGUAACUCAGGACGGGAUUGCCCUCUCCGGCCGAGUCUGGAGGCGCGCGCCCGCUGCGGAACCGCCGCCACUGCGGGUCUCGGGCUUUUCCCCAACGCGCGUGCGGCCGGACGGGCGGAGGGGCCGCCCCGCUCCGUGGACGCGGCCGCACGUCGGGGC